AGAGUUUGAUCAUGGCUCAGGAUGAACGCUAGCGGCAGGCCUAACACAUGCAAGUUGAGGGGCAGCAUGAAUAGUAGCAAUAUUAUUUGAUGGCGACCAGCGCACGGGUGCGUAACACGUAUGCAAUCUACCUUGUACAGGGGCAUAACUUCGAGAAAUCGUUGCUAAUUCCCCAUAAGACUAUAGAGUGGCAUCACUUAGUAGUUAAAACUCCGGUGGUACAAGAUGAGCAUGCGUCCCAUUAGCUAGUUGGUGUGGUAACGGCAUACCAAGGCUACGAUGGGUAGGGGUCCUGAGAGGGAGAUCCCCCACACUGGUACUGAGACACGGACCAGACUCCUACGGGAGGCAGCAGUGAGGAAUAUUGGUCAAUGGGCGCAAGCCUGAACCAGCCAUGCCGCGUGCAGGAUGAAGCAUCUAUGGUGUGUAAACUGCUUUUGUACAGGAAGAAACACUCCCUCGUGAGGGAGCUUGACGGUACUUAAGAAU
rnacentral:rRNA from 1 species